rnacentral:rRNA from 1 species
AUGGUUAAGUUAGAAAGGGCGCACGGUGGAUGCCUUGGCACUAGGAGCCGAUGAAGGACGGGACGAACACCGAUAUGCUUCGGGGAGCUGUAAGCAAGCUUUGAUCCGGAGAUUUCCGAAUGGGGAAACCCACUGCUCGUAAUGGAGUAGUAUCCAUACUUGAAUACAUAGAGUAUGAGAAGGCAUACCCGGGGAACUGAAACAUCUAAGUACCCGGAGGAAGAGAAAGCAAAUGCGAUUCCCUGAGUAGCGGCGAGCGAAACGGGAACAGCCCAAACCAAGAGGCUUGCCUCUUGGGGUUGUAGGACACUCUAUACGGAGUUACAAAGGAACGAUAUAAGCGAAGAGGUCUGGAAAGGCCCGCCAAAGAAGGUAACAGCCCUGUAACUGAAAUGUUGUUCUCUCCAGAGUGGAUCCUGAGUACGGCGGAACACGUGAAAUUCCGUCGGAAUCCGGGAGGACCAUCUCCCAAGGCUAAAUACUCCCUAGUGACCGAUAGUGAACCAGUACCGUGAGGGAAAGGUGAAAAGCACCCCGGAAGGGGAGUGAAAUAGAUCCUGAAACCGUGUGCCUACAAGUAGUCAGAGCCCGUUAAAGGGUGAUGGCGUGCCUUUUGUAGAAUGAACCGGCGAGUUACGAUCCCGUGCAAGGUUAAGCAGAAGAUGCGGAGCCGCAGCGAAAGCGAGUCUGAAUAGGGCGCAUGAGUACGUGGUCGUAGACCCGAAACCAGGUGAUCUACCCAUGUCCAGGGUGAAGUUCAGGUAACACUGAAUGGAGGCCCGAACCCACGCACGUUGAAAAGUGCGGGGAUGAGGUGUGGGUAGGGGUGAAAUGCCAAUCGAACCUGGAGAUAGCUGGUUCUCUCCGAAAUAGCUUUAGGGCUAGCCUCAAGGUAAGAGUCUCGGAGGUAGAGCACUGAUUGGACUAGGGGCCCCUACCGGGUUACCGAAUUCAGUCAAACUCCGAAUGCCGAUGACUUAUCCUUGGGAGUCAGACUGCGAGUGAUAAGAUCCGUAGUCGAAAGGGAAACAGCCCAGACCGCCAGCUAAGGUCCCAAAGUAUACGUUAAGUGGAAAAGGAUGUGGAGUUGCUUAGACAACCAGGAUGUUGGCUUAGAAGCAGCCACCAUUUAAAGAGUGCGUAAU